rfam:Clostridiales bacterium 45_37 Ley3_66761_scaffold_857, whole genome shotgun sequence.
CACCACUUGGUGAAAAUUAACUCGGUGCAAGCAUCUGUGAGUAGCUGAGAAUAAGUCGAAAGCGGAUGAGAGGAUAAGAGAG